GCCAGAGUAGCUCAAUUGGUAGAGCAACAGGUCACCGAUCCUGGUGGUUCUCGGUUCAAGUCCGAGCUCUGGUC
rfam:Murid herpesvirus 4 strain g2.4, complete genome.